ensembl:lncRNA
CUGAUUAAUCUCUCUACAUCUAUGAAAUGGUCCAUUUCUCUGAUUGCAUUGGUUUAAAUGGUGAAAGGAAAUCGAUUGGAAUUCUUCUCUUCCCAGUAGACAACAGGAUGGAGAAUAAAUGAUCACACUGGGAAGGAAGAGCAACACUCAUUAUAUUCCAGAAAGUCAUUAUUAUUGUGACAGAGGCAAAUUUCAGGAUGAACAGUGCACCAAAGACCUUGCUCAGGAACAUAGUGACUGUGGUAUUGGUUCACCUCAGGCCUUGCUCAGGCAGAUAGUGACCACAGUACUGGCUCAGCCUGGUUGCUGGAGGAACUGAUGGACAGACAUCUUGUUCAACAGCUGAGGGAAAAUUGAGUAUGUGCCAGAAAACAUGACUAUGGGUCGACCAUCUUACCCUGAGUGAUGUGUGUAAUGCCAUCAGCCACAACGUCAUAGUCUUUCACAGGACAAAAGAAGACUAAAAAUGGAAAGAAAGAGAAGGGACAAGCCAGCCUAUCUAGAAAAUAUAGCCGCCAAGGAAAGCUGUGCCAGGGAAGAGGAACACACUGUUACCAAAGUCCAGUUCACAAUGGGUUCAUUCCUUCUGCCAUUUACACAAAGCCACAGCUGAUCAGACUGAAACAUUCCUCUUGCUGGCUCCUAUUCUUCCUUCAUUUUAUUAAUAACCUGGCAACAGGAUAGGGGCUAAGAAAAGAGACCUUCUAGAAUGGAGAAUUUACUGAAGAAACCAGAAGUGAAAGGUAGGUAUGGGAGUUUGAAGUCACAUUUAUUAGGUGACAUAGUUCCUUUAGAGAACGAGAAAAGGACUUUAGGCAUGAGCACAACCCAUCAGGAAAAUCCAUGGUGACCUGGGCAAAUUCAUGCAGCACGGAUGUUGUAGAACAGUUUUAUGGAAGUGUGACAUCUUAAAGUCAAAAUAUAUUUUUCUCUGAUUAUUUUUUGUAUUGAUGUGGGUUCUGUUUUGUUUUGCUUUUGUUUGUUUGACAUUGUUGCUGAUUUUUAAGUACCUGUCCUACAUGAUGAGAUCUUGCAGCUCAAUUAAAAAGGAAAUAAUUAUUUAAAGCAUUCUGUGGAAUGUGGAACAGGCCCUGGAAGCUCUAAUAGGCCUUCAUGGCCUUGAUCAGUCCCACCUUAGGACACUCCUAAACAGGGGACCAGAGCACAUUUAAGUACAGUUCUGCACCUUUAGUCUCUGCCAGAGCUCUGCUGUAGUAUGUAUUUGCUCUGCUUUCUCUCUAGUUCACGUGCACUGGUUGUGGUCACUAAAGAAGAAUGUGUUGCUAUUGUUAUACAUUCUAAUAUCAUUACUGAAAGAUGUUUCAUUGACAUAAGUCCUUCUUACUUAAAGAACUUUUAGUACAGUUAAAUAAAAUACACAAGACAUGUAGGAUGAUUCAAAACAACAGAAUGGAUAAGAUAGCACAAAGUGUUCUGUUUCCCUUUGAAUUAUAGAAAUGCAAGUUGGAGAAGGGAAAAUUACUAAAACUUAAUUAUCAGGACAACAAAAUUUGCAGCUAAAUUUAACUGGUAGUUCUUUUAAAUACAAGUCUUGUCCAUGGGAAACCUGCAGACAUCUAGUUAAAAUUUGCUUAGUGCAAAUUUUUCCAGUUCCCACACUAAAACAGGGGGAACUGUUAAGAUUUUAACACUUCCAGUGAAGUGGCUACAAUGUUUGCCUAAAUGUUCUCCAGAAGUGGGUGAAUACACCCUUGGCCAGCUGCUUCAGAAACCGAAUCUGCUCCAAAAGGGAAAAAAAAUAAGGCUAUAGCACUUCUAGGGUGAAGUCCCUCUUGAAUUAAUCUACUGAAUAUUACAGAUAGCUGUAGUAUGAGUCACUCUAAACCUAAAGGGUCUGAUCCAGGAUAGAGUUUUAAAAUUGCUUUCUGAGAAGAGUCAGCUGGCAGUCACUUUUCAUUUUCUUUUUUGCUUAAAACAAGCAGCAGGGGGGUGCUUCUGGUUGUUCUGCUUCUGGACAGUGCUGAAGAAAUUAUCAGGUAGAUGACAGCUGUGUAGGUCUUCUGUUGAUUUUAUUUUGUGCAGGCAUGUGAGGGUAAAUAUGGUAAAAUAAUGGUAAAAAUAUUUCAAAUGCAGUCAAACCACUCCUGCAGCUUCAGGUUUUCCUAAUAAUGUGAGAAGACUUGUAUUUUCAUACAAAUAAAUGUAUUUAAAAUAAAAAUUGCAAGCAAUACAUCACUAAUAAGAGAAAAUAAGAUAUUUUAUCUCACAAUAGUUAGUAAAGUAGGCUAAUUCAUUUUGCUCCAAAUGAGUUUUUUUCUCAUGUUUUCCCAGCCAGACUACUCCUCCCACUAAAUUAAGUAUUUAUGUUAGCUGCUAAUGUAGCACCACUAGGCAGUCAAAUGUUCAUUUAAAGUUAUACCCACCCUCUCUUUCAGACACAUAUCAUAGAUUGAAGUAUGGUAUGAUUAAAUACUAAGUUUUAUUUCCUGGUCUGACAACUAUGCACACCAUUGCUGUGCUUGAUUUUAAGUCAUUACUGUCAGAGAUCAUUCUUAACAGAGAACUAAGUUUACCUGAAAGUUCUCUGUAAAGCACAACAGGUUAUUUAAGAUUGACUGCUGAAAUGCACUAGAUUAUGUUUGAUGUUGUAUGGGAACUGUUGAAUCACGGCCUGAACGUCUGAUUGACCACCUGAGGCAAAUGCUGAGUCAGCUGCAGGGGCACAGGUGAACGCAAUUUCACCUGAGUGACCGGAAGGGGUGGAGCCUGGCUCCAUCCCUCCUAGACCCCAUUUAAGUGCUGACUCCCAAGAAGGAAGGAUCUCUAUCUGGAGAUCCCUCCUCUUGGAGCCCUUCUGCAAGCCCAGGACACAGGUAAGAUCUUUAUUUCAUUUCUCCUUUGUAAUGCGAUAAUCUCUCUGGUCCAAUGCCUGUAUACCUUGUUGCCAUACAGAUGUCAUAUAAACCAUUUAAAUCCUAAUCUAGAUAAAUCUAUAAGAAUAUAUAUACAAAUAUUAUAAAUCAAAGGAAAUGAUCAUCUUUUAUUUUUCCUGUUAAUGUGACUGUUUGAGAGGCUAAGAGCUAUAAGCAUCAGCUAAAGAACAUGUCAAAGUCAAAGCUGUUAAAUUGAGAAAAUAACAGAGCAGAAAGCAAACUAUUUUGCAGUACAGGAAGUUACCAAGUCACAGGGCUUCCCACAAACUAUCAGAAGCAUAAUUGCAGAGGAAGCAGGUGUUAGGUGAUGAGAGAUGUUGCAAGGUCUCUCAUUUCAAAGGAAUCAUAAGGCAGAAAUCAGGCUGGAGCUCUGGAAAGUGUGAUGUAUGGGAACUGUUGGAUCACAGCCUGAACCUCUGAUUGACCACCUGAGGCAAGCACUGAGUCAGCCACGGGAGCAUAGGUGAAGGCAAUUCACCUGUGUGACCGGAAGGGGUGGAGCUUGGCUGCACCUCUCCUAGACCCCAUUUAAGGGCUGACUGCCACUGAGGAAGGAUCUCUUCCUGGAGAUGGCUCCUCGUGGAGUUUUUGUGGGCCUACAAUACUGGUGAGUACCUUUCUGGUUAUCUUUCCUAAUGCAGUAAUAUUACUAGCCUAAGUUCUCUGUAUACUGUAUAACAUGUGUAUGCCUAUUAACCAUAUAUGUGAGAUACCAGACAAAGAGGUAUGAAACUGUAAGUACCCUAUUAUUUGAUUUCUCAUAUGUUCAGGAGGGCACAAUUUUGUGCAUUCUAGUGAAGUACCACUAAGACUGCACCUAGCAACCAUAGAUUGUAUUAACAAUUCUUCUCCUUACAUAACAACUAAAAAAUGCUGAGGCUUACUCUAAUUAUUUCAAGAAAAAUAAGUGUUUGUAUUUUGGGAAGCUUCAGUAAGACAGCUAUAAAAUCAAGGCCCCCUUACUGUUUUGUUUGAAGUUUAUUACUCAAUGAUCUCUUGAGGUCCUUUCCAAACCCUGCGAUUCUGUGAAAUGUUGUAGUUAAACGUUGCCUUUCAGUUUCUUUUUAGCACCAUAGCUGAUAUUAGUUGAAACAGGCAGAGAGGAUUCAGAGUUGAUAAUGUAUUUUAAAACUCAUCUUGUUAUCAGAUGGAAUAUUUGUAAGCUUCUGAACGAACAGAAUAUUUUUUUCAGUAACUAAAAGAGACUAUAGUGAAAUCAGAUGCAAAGAAAUAGUGACCAUUUUCUCAGCAUUGGAAUGUAAUCUUAUAUGAACUGAGACUUUAGCAACACAUACUCAUUUGAAAGAAAAGAUAGUACGAAGCGCAACAGCGAGUAUAUCUUAAAAGCUCUGUGUGCAGAGUCUUUUUUUUUUUAGAAUGUCAGAGAAAUGAUUGCUCUGGCAACAGCUGAGAAAAAUAUAUUUUAAAACUAUCAUUAGUUAGAAAAACAAACUUUUUUCAUUUUUAGUCACCUAAUUCAGUAGACUAUGACUAACAAUUGUAGCCUGUAGAUUCCAAAAGAGCUGGCACACGUUUGAACCCCAAAUCAUAUUUCAUACUCAAGGAAUUGAUGCUUUCUCCUUCUUGGAGAAUAUGUGUAUCACUUAAUCUUCCUGAGAACAGAACAAAAUUAAAGACAAAUAUAAACAGUAUUGGCAAUCACUGGCAGUUUCCAAGUGCAGGACAAUUGUUUGAGGAGGUUGCAAUAGGUUAUUUAUGCAGUUCUUUAAUAUAUCUGAUUCCUUCAUGUUAGAGAAGGGGCUUGUUUGUUUCUUUAUGUUCCCUAUCUGUAACAUGUUAUUCACAGUCACUAUUCAUGCCUUAGAAGUCCUUUGGUUUCUAAUAGGAGGACUAGUUUUGUUUAGUUUUGUUUCUUGAAAUAAGUGAAUGGUAAUACUCUUGAUGUGCUAGAACUACUAAUUUGAAGUACAGGCUGACUACUGCUGUUUCUUGUAGGCUGCUUCUUCUAAAAAUAGGCUGUUGGGAUGAAUUUUGACUUGCUCAAAUUAGUGUUCUAUGCUUACAAAUUAUGUGAAGAGAAAGCAUAUCAAAAGUUUGAUUGCAUAGAGUUGAAAACAGACAAAAGACCACCUUGCCAAGAAGACAUGAGGUGCAAGGGAAUGUAUGUUUUCUGUAAUUUCCUGCUUUGUGUAAUUUUCGUGAAAACUGAAAUGGCAACUUUUGUGCAGUGAGAUGUACAGGAAUUAUUCUAUUUUUUACUAGAAUUAUGUAUUUUUAAUAAAAUGAUUAGACUACUAGUCACUAGAAAGUAGUUAUCAUUCCAAAAGUAAGAGAAUAGAUGAGAGUGCUUGCCUGUGGUAGAUUUUAACAUUUGGGUAUUGCAGGAAGAGACUAGUAAUUAUUUUUAUUUUUUAAUGAAAUUUCCAUGUAAAUUUCCCGAGACUUAUUUAACAGGAAAUUUUUAAGGCAUGGAGCUGCCUGAUAUGAGAAUGACAGUUGAAAACCUGUCACCAGAACAGAGUAUGAUUUUUGCACUGACCAUGUGUAGCAAAAAAAAAAAAAUUGACAUUAUUUCUAUAAAUAAACAUGACAGACAUUAAGGGUGAGGAAUGUUAUCAGGGUUCUGUUUCAUCUUGCCUCCUAGUAAGUAAGUAAACUGUCUUCCCAGAAGAGUAAUGAAACUCAGAUCAGUGUUCUCUGAUCACCUUUCCUGAAUCACUUGAUCAUUCUCUUGGAUGGAAAGGAAAGUUUGGAAUCAUAACCUGCUCUACUAUUAGAGCCUGAUUGAAGUUCCUGUCCUUUAUCGUUGUUACAUGUGUCUCAGCCUUCAGACCAACUCCAUUCUCUGCAAAAAGCUUUGUUGAUUGUUUUGAAGAGAACACUGACACCUAAAUCCCACCUUCAAAGUGUAAAAACCAAAAUAUGCUCCAAGGACUAGAACUUGAACAGACUCUUUUUCCAUGUCACUGUUUGCUUAUUUUUCUUCAGUGUUUUCUUAUUUUUCUGAAGUUUUCUGUGAACAUUUUUUUCAAUCUCACUUCACAAUCAUGAAAAAAGCUUCAAUCUGAAAUAUUCUCUUGUUUUUUUAAUAGCAUGUUAGUAAUUGUAUAUGGUUUACAGUAGAACAGUAGUAGUAAGUAUUUGAAGGACUUUGACACAAAUUAAUUAGUAAUUGAUGAUGCAGCCCUACUUUCCUAUAUGUUGUCAUCUUCUUAAUGCAAAUACUACUUUUAAGGUCCUGUAUAGCUACUAGUGAAGCAAAAUGUGUAUUUUGGAUUGUAUUGAAUUUUGGAGCUUAAUUGAGGAGGCAAUCUUUGGAGUAUUUACAGCAAACUAAGAAAAAAAAUAUGCAUAACCAAGUAACUGUAACUUAGUAAAUUUAAAAAAAUCUAUUCUGUGUUUGUAGUGUAAUCUUAAAAUUGAUGAUACCCUUGCAUGAAAGGAGAAACAGAUUACUUUUAAUUUUAACUUUAGAGAAUAGGUCAUUGUAUGCGUUUUAAAAUAAUGCUUACUUGGGGGAGGAAAAUUUAAAACAAAAAAUAACAGGUGAACAACAUCUUGGAUUUGCAAAUUGCACCAGAGAGCAGUGCUUUCAUCAUGCUCUUCAAAGAACUCUGAAGUUAGAAUAGAGCUGCAAGUAAAGUGGCAAUACUGUGAGUGAAUGGAAAGCAGUCAUUAAUAUAUUGAGUUGAAAUGGAAUGUAUACAAUAGGACAGAAUACAUACAAAUUAGAGGUCUCUGAAGUUAACUGUACUGAUGUGUGGUUGUGAUGUGUCACGUUAUCGCUCUCUCACAGCCACUCACAGAAUAAGUCAAGGUGUUGUUUUCUUUCAGUUUGCCUUCCAUCUGCAUAAUGGUUUAAGCAGUGUGUUGCAUUUUUGCUACCCACAGCUGUGAAUUAGUUAAUAAAAAAUGCUGCCUUUUGUUGGGAAGUGUUAAAACAGAGGGAAGGGUUAUGGACUGAUAUUGAAGUAUAUAGGUUACUGUCAACUGAAGACUAUUUUGAGAUGGAAAAACAGAAGAAUGACUGUAUGAUACUUAAGCACAAUAAAUUUUUGUUUGUUUUCCUAGAAACAUAAGGCCUCAUAAUAAUGUUUCCUUGUUCAUCAAAAUAAGCCAUUUUUACUAUUUUGUAUGGUAGGUAAGUUAUAUUGCAUUCCUUUUCUUAGGUAGGUGUAAAAGUACAGAAGAAAAAAUAGUAAGAAAAACAAAUAACCCUCCUGCAAUGUAUUCA